CUCUCUCUGUCCCUCCCUCACUCCCUCCCUCCCUCCCUCCCUCCCUCCACUCCCUUCCUUCUGAAUAAGUAAAUAAAAUCUUAAAAAAGAAAAAAAUAGCCAGGCUCAUUUCAGGACAGAAUUAUUUUCUUUUCCCUCACCAAAACAUGUAUUCUCACGCCUUGUACGUUUCCUACACAUCUCCUACUUGUCACACACGGAAUUGUUUUCCUUCUCGUUCUCCAGUAGUCUCCAUUCCAUUGGCAGGCUUUUGCAAAAUUGUAAUAUAUUAACUUCCUUUCAGAGAGAGAGCACUGUGUGAAGGGGGGAAGGGGGAGGAGGAGGAGGAGGGAGAGGGAGAGAGUGGGAGACCGAGCAUCUUUCCUUUUUUACACUAUUUGGUUUCUUUAUUCCUGUGUGUGAGAGAGAGACAGAGACAGAGACAGAGACAUGGGCAGAAGCAGGUCCCCCCCCCCCCCCCCCCCCCCCCGCAAGGAGACGGAUGCAGGAAAGGAUCCCAGACCCGCAUGAUCGGGAACGAACGAACAGAACUUCAUCCCAGAUCGUGGGAACUUGUGAAAUAUUGGCACUCCUCCUUAUCGCUCCGAGCUGUCCUGUUCCGAUGAUGUUUACCCGCGCCAGCCUUUGAACUCCUAACCUACAGUUCCUUUUUUUUUUUUUUUUUUAAUUUUUAUUUAUUUAUGAUAGUCACACAGAGAGAGAGAGAGAGAGAGGCAGAGACAUAGGCAGAAGGAGAAGCAGGCUCCAUGCACCGGGAGCCCGACGUGGGAUUCGAUCCCGGGUCUCCAGGAUCGCGCCCUGGGCCAAAGGCAGGCGCCAAACCGCUGCGCCACCCAGGGAUCCCAUAAGCUACAGUUCCUUUACAAAGGGAUGUUAGCAAUAUAGCAUCCGGAGGUAGAGGAAACCUCUCCCUCGUAGAACCCACAGGGACACGUAGACACAGACGAGACGCCAACAAAGUAUAUAGCCUUGGUCUCACUCCUAUCUAUCUGUGGAGAGGUCACGAAAGACCCGAUGUUCCGAUCUCCCCGGCCGGCCGCGGCCGACACCGCCAAGCGAGGGGCGCGAGCCCCCCGACGCUGCCGGCCCGUGACGGACCAGGGCCCGGCGGGCGCCGCGACGCGGGCCCCGCCACCGCCCGACAGCCAGCCUCCCUCUCUCUCCCCGGUCUCUCCCCCGCCCCCAAAAGCCACCGGGGGCGGGGCCGGCCGGAUCCCCUCGCUUCCGAGGAACACCCCCGGGAGCCACCACCUCGCCUCGCCUUAGGAGAAAACACCCGGCCGGCCGACCCCCGGCCCUCCCCACAACCGCGACCCGGGCCCCGCCUCGCCACGGAGGGCGGGGGGGGCCCGCAGCGGGAAGCGGGGCGUGAGCGGGCAGGGCCAGGGGAGGGGGGCGGCGGGGGCGGCGACGGAGAAGGGGAGAGCCGGACCCGGGCCCCGAGGCCCCAGAGGCGGGGGGUGGGCCGGGGUGGGAGAGGGAGAGGCGACGAGCGGGAGGGCGGAGAUGGCGCGGACGCCCGCCUGACCGGAGGACCGUCCAGGGCGGGCGGCGGGAGGCGCGCGCCGGGCGGCGGGCGCCCCCGCGCGAGCCGACGCUCCCCCCCCCGCAGGAGGAGGACGACGACGACACCGCGGAGGGCACCGCCGCCGCGUCGCACGCGUCCCGAGACGCGCCGAGGGCACCCCCGUGCGGGGCGACGCGGCGACCGGGGAACGACCGGCGCCGGAAGGCGAAAGGCGGGCCGCGGAAGGGACACGGUGGGGGGGGGGCCGGGACGGCGACGUCCGAGAAAGGGAGGCGGGCGCGGGGCCCGUCUCCCCCCCCACGACACGCCGUCGUCGCCGACGACACCCCCUCCCUUCCCCUCCCGGCGGGCGCCCGACCGACCGACGCCAGGCCCGCCCACCGCCACCGCCGCGCUUCCACCGCGCCUCCCGGCGGCGGGCGCGGCCCCUUCCUUCCCCCUGCCUCCUCCUCACGCGGCCCCGUCCUCGCCCCACGGACGGACACGCACACACGCGCUCCCGCUCUCUCACGUCCCUCGCGGCCAGCGGGCCGGCACCGCGCCGGCCCGCCCGCACCGCACGGGGGAAGGCUUCGCGGGCGAGCGGACGGACGGGAAGGACGGGGCGCCUCCGCCGCCGCCGCCGCCGCCGCGUUCUCCGUUAAUGAUCCUUCCGCAGGUUCACCUACGGAAACCUUGUUACGACUUUUACUUCCUCUAGAUAGUCAAGUUCGACCGUCUUCUCAGCACUCCGCCAGGGCCGUGGGCCGACCCCGGCGGGGCCGAUCCGAGGGCCUCACUAAACCAUCCAAUCGGUAGUAGCGACGGGCGGUGUGUACAAAGGGCAGGGACUUAAUCAACGCAAGCUUAUGA
rnacentral:lncRNA from 12 species